UAGGCAGAAACUCGCCUACAUGAAGCUGGAGUUACUAGUAAUCGCAGAUCAGAAUGCUGCGGUGAAUGCGUUCCCGGGUCUUGUACACACCGCCCGUCACACCACGGAAGUUGGGGGCGCCCGAAGCCACUUAGCUAACCCUUUUGGGAAGCGAGUGUCGAAGGUGAAAUCAAUAACUGGGGUGAAGUCGUAACAAGGUACC
rnacentral:rRNA from 1 species